UAGGGAAUCUUCGGCAAUGGGGGGAACCCUGACCGAGCAACGCCGCGUGAGUGAAGAAGGUUUUCGGAUCGUAAAGCUCUGUUGUUAAGGAAGAACGAGUGUGAGAAUGGAAAGUUCAUACUGUGACGGUACUUAACCAGAAAGGGACGGCUAACUACGUGCCAGCAGCCGCGGUAAUACGUAGGUCCCGAGCGUUGUCCGGAUUUAUUGGGCGUAAAGCGAGCGCAGGCGGUUAGAUAAGUCUGAAGUUAAAGGCAGUGGCUCAACCAUUGUAGGCUUUGGAAACUGUUUAACUUGAGUGCAGAAGGGGAGAGUGGAAUUCCAUGUGUAGCGGUGAAAUGCGUAGAUAUAUGGAGGAACACCGGUGGCGAAAGCGGCGCUCUGGUCUGUAAAUGACGAUGAGGCUCGAAAGCGUAGGGAGCGAACAGG
rnacentral:rRNA from 1 species